GGCUUAUUGAUUUUAAUUUUAAGUCUAUCUGCCCAGUGAUUUAAUUAUUUAAUGGCUGCAGUAUAAUUGACUGUACAAAGGUAGCAUAAUCAAUUGUUUUUUAAUUAAAAACUAGAAUGAAAGAAUUAAUGAGAUAUAUACUGUCUCAUAUAUAUAUAAUUAAUUUAAAUUUUUAGUAAAAAUGCUAAAAUAUAUUUAUGGGACGAUAAGACCCUAUAGAAUUUUAUAUUUAUAUAUAUUAGAUUUUAAAUUUUUUAAAUAUAAAUAUUUAAUUGGGAGGAUUAGUAAAUUUAUAAAACUUUAUUUUAAAUAUAAACUUCAAUUAAAGAAUAAUUAAUGAUCUUGUAUUAUAAAUUAAAAGAAUAAAUUACCUUAGGGAUAACAGCGUAAUAUCUUUUUAAAGAUCAUAUUAAUAAAGAUGAUUGCGACCUCGAUGUUGAAUUAAGAUAAAUUUUAAAUGCAGAAGUUUAAUAAUUAAGUCUGUUCGACUUUUAAAAUCUU
rnacentral:rRNA from 1 species